CCUACGGGCGGCAGCAGUGGGGAAUAUUGCACAAUGGGGGAAACCCUGAUGCAGCGACGCCGCGUGCGUGAAGAAGUAAUUCGUUAUGUAAAGCUCUAUCAGCAGGGAAGAAAAUGACGGUACCUGAGUCAGAAUCCCCGGCUAACUACGUGCCAGCAGCCGCGGUAAUACGUAGGGGGCCAGCGUUAUCCGGAUUUACUGGGGGUAAUGGGAGCGUAGACGGCAGUACAAGCGUGCAGUGAAAGGCGGGGGCUCAACCCCCGGACUGCACGGGAAACGGGAGGGCUGGAGUGCAGGAGAGGUAAGUGGAAGUCCUAGUGUAGCGGUGAAAUGCGUAGAUAUUAGGAGGAACUCCAGUGGCGAAGGCGGCUUACUGGACUGUAACUGACGUUGAGGCUCGAAAGCGUGGGGAGCAAACAGGAUUAGAUACCCGAGUAGUC
rnacentral:rRNA from 1 species